rnacentral:rRNA from 1 species
CCUACGGGAGGCAGCAGUGAGGAAUAUUGGUCAAUGGCCGGAAGGCUGAACCAGCCAUGCCGCGUGAAGGUCAGUGCCCUAUGGGCGUUAAACUUCUUUUGUGCGGGAGCAAUAAUGGUCACGUGUAGCCCGACGAGCUUACCGUACGAAUAAGCAUCGGCUAACUCCGUGACAGCAGCCGCGGUAAUACUGGGGAUGCAAGCUUUAUCCGGAUUUAUUGGGUUUAAAGGGUGCGUAGGCUGUGAGGUAAGUCAGCGGUGAAAUGCCCUCGCUCAACGGGGUGAAGUGCCAUUGCUACUGCCUUGAUGGAAUGCGGAUGCCGUGGGAGGAAUGUGUGGUGUAGCGGUGAAAUGCAUAGAUAUCACACAGAACACCGAUUGCGAAGGCAUCUCACGAAUCCGCGAUUGACGCUGAUGCACGAAAGCGUGGGUAUCAAACAGGAUUAGAUACCCUGGUAGUC